AUCCGGGUUGCGGACAGUGUCUGGUGGGUAGUUUGACUGGGGCGGUCUCCUCCUAAAGAGUAACGGAGGAGCACGAAGGUUGGCUAAUCCUGGUCGGACAUCAGGAGGUUAGUGCAAUGGCAUAAGCCAGCUUGACUGCGAGCGUGACGGCGCGAGCAGGUGCGAAAGCAGGUCAUAGUGAUCCGGUGGUUCUGAAUGGAAGGGCCAUCGCUCAACGGAUAAAAGGUACUCCGGGGAUAACAGGCUGAUACCGCCCAAGAGUUCAUAUCGACGGCGGUGUUUGGCACCUCGAUGUCGGCUCAUCACAUCCUGGGGCUGAAGUAGGUCCCAAGGGUAUGGCUGUUCGCCAUUUAAAGUGGUACGCGAGCUGGGUUUAGAACGUCGUGAGACAGUUCGGUCCCUAUCUGCCGUGGGCGCUGGAGAACUGAGGGGGGCUGCUCCUAGUACGAGAGGACCGGAGUGGACGCAUCACUGGUGUUCGGGUUGUCAUGCCAAUGGCACUGCCCGGUAGCUAAAUGCGGAAGAGAUAAGUGCUGAAAGCAUCUAAGCACGAAACUUGCCCCGAGAUGAGUUCUCCCUGAGACUUAGAGUCUCCUGAAGGAACGUUGAAGACGACGACGUUGAUAGGCCGGGUGUGUAAGCGCAGCGAUGCGUUGAGCUAACCGGUACUAAUGAACCGUGAGG
rnacentral:rRNA from 2 species